rnacentral:rRNA from 1 species
GACGAACCGUGCGAACGUUAUCCGGAAUUAUUGGGCGUAAAGAGCUCGUAGGCGGUUUGUCACGUCUGCUGUGAAAACUGGAGGCUCAACCUCCAGCCUGCAGUGGGUACGGGCAGACUAGAGUGCGGUAGGGGAGAUUGGAAUUCCUGGUGUAGCGGUGGAAUGCGCAGAUAUCAGGAGGAACACCGAUGGCGAAGGCAGAUCUCUGGGCCGUAACUGACGCUGAGGAGCGAAAGCAUGGGGAGCGAACAGG